rnacentral:rRNA from 1 species
CGCAUUAAGCGCCCCGCCUGGGGAGUACGGCCGCAAGGCUAAAACUCAAAGGAAUUGACGGGGGCCCGCACAAGCGGCGGAGCAUGCGGAUUAAUUCGAUGCAACGCGAAGAACCUUACCAAGGCUUGACAUAUACCGGAAACCUUCAGAGAUGGGGGCCCCGCAAGGUCGGUAUACAGGUGGUGCAUGGUUGUCGUCAGCUCGUGUCGUGAGAUGUUGGGUUAAGUCCCGCAACGAGCGCAACCCUCGUUCUAUGUUGCCAGCACGUGAUGGUGGGGACUCAUAGGAGACUGCCGGGGUCAACUCGGAGGAAGGUGGGGAUGACGUCAAAUCAUCAUGCCCCUUACGUCUUGGGCUUCACGCAUGCUACAAUGGCCGGUACAGAGGGCUGCGAAACCGUGAGGUGGAGCGAAUCCCUUAAAGCCGGUCUCAGUUCGGAUUGGGGUCUGCAACUCGACCCCAUGAAGUCGGAGUCGCUAGUAAUCGCAGAUCAGCAACGCUGCGGUGAAUACGUUCCCGGGCCUUGUACACACCGCCCGUCAAGUCACGAAAGUCGGUAACACCCGAAGCCGGUGGCCCAACCCUAGUGGGGGGAGCCGUCGAAGG